ACUGUAGUGGGAUGUUCGAGGGAAGACUUACAAAGAAAUUGGUAAUUAUUCCCAACAUUUCUCUAGAGAGAUCGGCAUUCUCAUUCGACAAUAUGCCGAUCCCGACUACGACCGAUGGGAUAAAGUACCCAGCGAAGUUAGAGAUCGCAUACUUCCUCGUCUAGAGGAUGAUUUAUUCGACAUUGGUCGAAGUCGAUAUGCCUCAGAGAACCUCCCCGGCAUUCUUUUGGGCAUUCAACAGUCGUGCGCUGAUCGUUACUCGGAGUGGAAGAAUGACUUGUCCACUCAUUUAAAAAAGAAUGGUCGAGCACAUCCUCCUGAUGUUUUGGUGGUGGAGAAAUGGCAGAAGGCGCUCCAGUAUUUUGAUCGCCCUGAAGUGAAGAGGCGUUCUGAGACUAACUCUGCGAACCGUGCAAAACAAAAACAGAGAAGCGUGCAGGGUUCACAGUCUACGCCAGCCCUUCGUUACAAGAAGCGUGAUUUACAAACUGGGUGUCUUGCUGGGGUUCCAGAGAUUUGGAUGGCGACUAAGUAUAUAGACGGGGAAGGUUGGGUGAGCAAGGCAGCAAAAGAUAACUAUGUAUGUAAAUUUAUAUUUUA